CGGGGCUUCCCCGCUGCUCCGCGACCGCCGCGAAAGGAGAGGGAGAGCCGCGGGCAGCGAGAGAGGGGAGCGGCACAGCAGCACCGCCGCGGAGCGCCGCGCGGUUUCUAGGCCAUCACCUCCCCCCGGGCGCUGCCCGCCGGAGGGGCCCGGCCGUGCCCCGCGGGGGGGGGGACAAACAGCCGAACCUCGGCGAGGAAAGGGCACGGGGCCGGGGUUCGGGAGCGCUGCUGGGAGAGCGGGAGCCGCGAGAGGGACCGGGAGGCAGCCUGCCUGGGAAGCGGGGAAAGAGGAAGAGAGAGGGAAAGCGUUUCCCUUUCGAACGGCGCCGGGACGGUCCGUGACUUUUGCACGGGAAAUUCAGGUGAUGGGAGCGAGGCCCGCUCCUCGUCCCGGGACCGGAGGCAGCUGAGAGGCCGGCGGCAAGCCCCAGCCCGAUCGGAGCGACAGAGGGAGUAGCGCGGGGGGCUGCUGGAGGCGACGAUUGGGCAGAAGGCGGCCGGGGAGAGGGGGGGAUGGGGUUACGGCUGCGGCCGCUCCGCGUUCCCCCUCAGGAGCCGGCGGUGCCAGGCGGGCAGCAGUGCUCCCCGUACCGGGCCGGGCAUAAAUCCUAUCAGGGAGGGGGCAAUUACGAGGCCGUAAAAAAGUCAGGAAGAUGGAUGCUCUCGAAUGAUGAUUGAUCGCUAUUUGUAGCGGUCUUCUAAUGGGGAGCCCGAAUCCGGAUCCCGAAGCCAGCGGGCGACGCUCCUGCCAACGCCCCGGGCUCUCCGGCUCCGCGCUGUGCCCGCCCGCGGGUGCCCCGGGGCGCUGCCGUAGGGCAGGGGCAGCCCGAAGCCCCCCAGCGGCACGGUCUCACCGCAGGGCACGGUGCAGCACGCAGUGACAGCGAGCACGGAGGAAUAGAAUCGGCAACGGGGAAGUUACAGAACAUUAAGAGCCAGGAAAUGAGCAGAUUAGAAAACUGAAUUUCCUCGCUCUCUUCCCCCUCGCACGUACACAAAUCUCUAAUCUGAGACAGGUUUAUAGCCUUCACUUAUUUACUGGUGCGUCUCUCUGGCUAUCGUACCCAUCAUCUGGGAUGUAAGCAGCAGAAGGGGAGCAUCAGAGAGGUGCAGUUGGGAUUUUUACUAGAAAUGGGUCGUAAAAGCCGAGUAUGUUUUUAAAUAAUGGCCUUCCAGCCUAUUACGGGAUACAGAUUUAUUAGUCACUUUUAUGUUUGAAGCCAGGUUUGAAAACAACCUAGAUGUUGUUAGCAAAGUUUGGCUCUGACGAACGGAAAGCUGGCGUGUUAUGUUUGUGGGGUGCUGGUUUUUUCUUUAAAGGUUAAGGGACCAGAUUAAGAACAGCUGGAAAGGGUCACAGCUUGCGCGGGUGAGAGAGCAAUCAGCAGGUUGCCAGAUACACCUCGAGAAACAGGGCUGGUUUCCGUCUGCGCAAUGAGCCAACUUCACGGAGGCAGAAGCAGGGCCCCGAGAGCAGUGAGCACGUGACUCCUAAUGGCUUCCAAACGUUUGGUGUUUUGCACAUACUGUUUCUUACGGUCUUCAACAAAAAGGCAGCAGUCAUUUAAUUCUGUAGGUGAUGAGCCAAACAAAAGAUGGGUUCCACAGAAGACAAGGAACACUUCCCAUUUUGGAGACUUCUCAUGCAUUGACCAAAAAACACAAAAGUUGUUGGUUGUAGUUCAUUAUUCAUGAUAUUAUUCUACCAGAUGGCUAUCAACAGGUAAGAACAUCUCAAGCAAUAUCUUGAACAAAUAGUUACAGGCAGCUGAAAGUCCUGUCUUCCUUCUCUGGUGAAGAGACCUUCUGGAAAGGCUGACUGCCUCUGCAGAAAGUGAACAGCUCAAGACUUCACUGAAGUCCUGGGGAUGUGACCUUUUCAGCACUUGUGGAGUCAGGUUCCUUAUAACGAACAGACAUCUUACAAUAACCCAAAGAAAAUAGAAACAUUUUCAUAUCAUUAGAUUAUCAGAGCAAUGUAUUUAAAUGUCAUUUUCCUGUUGUUUUAAAAAGAAUGAGAGUCCAGAGGUGGAGCUCUGGUAUAUUAACAAGUAAAUAGAAAUAAAUAUUAGGUUCUGUGGUUAUGAUUUUGUUCAAAAGAUGCAUGAGGUAGGGGAAAACUCUAUGCAAUUAUCUGUCUGUCUCACACACCUUACUUUUGGGCAAGUAUUUCCCAGAUAAUGAAGAGGUACCAUUGAUAGAAUUUGCUACCAUAAAUAAAAUAUAUUCAGGAAGAUUUUCUUGGAAGCAUCCAUUCUGGUAUAAAAUAAACUAAAAACAGUCAGCAACCUCACAGAAGAAAUCACAAAGUUAAGAAUCGAAGCAUUUAAUCUACCAAAUGGAGGCAUUAGUGAUAUCCCAUUGUAUAAGUGUGCUGGAGCAGUAUCACCAUCCACCAGAGAAACUGCCACUUGCUGAAUAUUAUGUUAUAGUACAAACCAAGCAAAACCCUUCCAUUUUCUACCCAGAGAACCAUCUCUCUUAGUAAUGGUAGAGGUUUCCUCUAGACUUUAAAGAUGAUGAAACCAUGAAGCUUCAGGGGUACCAUCACUGGAAGGUCUGGAGGAGAAGAAAGGCAAACAUGCAAUUACAUAAGAAAGUCAAAAUACAUUCACUUGUUGAAAAAAAGACAAAACAAAAGCAAUUUGCUCAGAACAACAAAUAGAUCUCAGGGGGUUUGGGGCAGCCAACACUUACCCAAGUCGUAAUUGUCUGUCUCAGCAUCACUCCUUCCUUAAUAGUCAUGGGCUCUGCCUGUCAUUUCUUGAUAAAGCAACACAUCUUUUUUGCCAAGUUAAAUGUUAAAUGAGUGGAGAAGUUGAAGUGCCUUUCAUACAUUACCAUGUCCAGGAGGUUGUACUCUUAUCUAACCUACCCAAGGGACUUUUUCAUGAAGUGUCUGUGCAGAACACACAAUUCUCUGUCUAAAUGAGGGAAAGGCUUCCCUGGCCAGUUUGUAAGGAAAGCAGGAAAAAUUUCAUAACAGGACCGCUCAGCCCAGCUACAUGCCCCUCCUGUCUGUCCAGGAUUGGGUAGCCACCACUUGUUUGGUUUGUCCACACUUCCCUAGGGUCUCAUCUCAUACUGCUGCUGGUUUGCGGUUACAGUCAGUGGCCCGCAGCUGGUCUGGGAAACCACAAUAAGCACAUACAUAUCCCUUAGCAGGUUGCACAGACUGUCCUCCCAAAAGAAAUACAACAAAAGGAAAGUCCCAGAUCAUGCAGAAGUGCUGUGGUGAAGCUGAAGUGAUGGGAGACACUACUGGGGGUAAAGGAACUGUGGAGAGAAACAAAUCCACACUGCAUCAUCUUGGAGAGUACCAUGGGAGGAAAGAGAAGUAGAGACAGUCUCCAUGGCUUAUUCACCCAGCUUUGCAUGUGUCACUCUUGGUCUAUACUUCAAUAUUCAUAUUCAUACAUUUCGAUCAUUUUAAUCACUGCUUUAUUCCUUAUAAUUAUUUUUUUCUUACAUUCUUUUGGCUUUGCACAACAUAUUUGGAUAGCUCUAUCUACAUUUUUGUAUCUCUCGUUUGUGAAUGUUACUUUAACCAAUACAGUUGAGUUUCACCUGUUUGUGAAACACACUGCAAUUAGUAUCUAUACAUAACGGCAACAGUUUGGACAGUAGUGACACUUUUCUCUCUUAGGAACUCAAAUAAUUUUACAAAUAUUUCCCAAAACAUUUUAAAACAUUACCAAACAAUUCUCAUCACCUCUAGGUCAUCUAAAUUCUGGGUAGAUUAGAUGAAGACCAGUAGUUUGCAAUCUAUGGUUGUCUGUCUAUUGGAGAGCGUAGAAGUAUGGGUUUUUUUUAAACAGGUAUUUUUCUGACUUCAUUGGCAGUUCACAAUAAAUAUGACAUGAAAUCCAAUUUAAAGUUUUGAAAAUGAUAAGUUUGUCAUGUAACCCUAACCAUCUAGCAAAAGAUAUUUUCAUGUGAGUUGUCUCACUGACUCAGUGAUUUUGAUAGUCUAAGUGGCACUGAAAUGUAAUUGAUGUAUGAGUUACAUCAACUUUUAUCCAGUUUUUCAGCAGGAAAGCAGUAAAUAAUGCUACUUUGAGGUUAAGUACAGGCAUACUCACAACACCAACACUGCAUCAGCUUCAUUUCAUUCACAUUUUCAAGAAUCUUUUUUUCAUAAUGGGAUGAUUGCAGUAUGCACUGAACAAAAUUGAAGUCCUACACUGAGGAGAGGAUCCAUUUGAUGAAGAGGACCUUCAUCAAAUAUAUCAAUUCAUGAAAAUUUCCACUGACAUACUAGAGUGGUCUUGCUGCAAUAAAAGAGUAAUAUUCUGAUUUGGGAAAGAAAGGGUGUGGCUGAAUCCUUCUUCUAUAACUUUUUAAUAGGAUUUUUUGUGGGUAUAUCUUUUAUCAAUACACAUAUAUGCACUGGGGAGGGACUUUUUGUAAGGGCAUGUAGUGACAGGAUGAGGGGAAGUGGUUUUAAACUGGAAAAAUGUAGAUUUAGACUAGAUAUUAGGAAGAAAUUCUUUACUGUGAACGUGGUGAGACAGUGAAACAGGUUGUCCAGAGAGGUUGUGAAUGCCCCCUCCCUGGAAGCAUUCAAGGCCAGGCUGGAUGGGGCUGUGAGCGACCUGGUCUAGGGGGAGGUGUCCCUGCCUAUUGAAGGGGAGUGGAACUAGAUGAUCCUAAAGGUCCCUUCCAACCCAAACCAUUCCAUGGUUCUAUGAUAUAUGGAUUACUGUGAUCUGGUGGAUUCCAGGUGAAGGUAAUGCAUCCUGGCACCAUGGAGCUGCUUACAAGGUUGAGGGUGAAAUAUUCAGGGAUUUGUUCCUUAUUUUAAAUGUAAACUUCCAUCUUGUUUUAGCUGCAGGAUAGUCAAAGAAUGUUUACAACUGACACGUAAUUUAACAGCUUUUAAAAAUACAGUGUAUUCAAUGUGAAACUAGUCUUCAAAGGGUGAUACUGUUUUAUCACAUCUGAGAGUUUACAUUCUGCAUAAGUUUUUACUGCAAUAAUGAACAUAAUGCUAGUCUACAGAAAAUUAAAAUACUGUGUUUAUUCAUAUGUAUAUAAGCAAUACCUUAGAAACACCCUCCUCUGGAGCAAGGCCUAUUUCAUGCUUACCUUUGUUGUACAAACAAGUCAUGGAGCAAAGUUGAACAAUGAGAAAAUGAGGCGUGCAAAUGCGGACUCGAGUCCUUCAGAAAAGCUCUGCCUCAGUGUGAAGGAGCUGGAGUGCUGUCCUGUCCCCUGGGGGUUGGAAGAAACAAAAUUCAGUUAAUAUAUGAAUAUUUGCAGGAUGGGGCCCUACUUCCCAUAGGUUUUCAUUUCACUGUAUGAUCCAGCUACUGCACCUAUAAAGACAGAGUAUUUUCAUGG
ensembl:lncRNA